rnacentral:tRNA from 1 species
GGGCCCGUAGCUCAGGUGGACAGAGCGACCGCCUCCUAAGCGGUAGGCCGCCGGUUCGAGUCCGGCCGGGCCCA